rnacentral:lncRNA from 10 species
CCUGGCUCUUCUCCAUGGGCACCAGGCCCAGUGCCCCUGCAGCUCCUCCCUGGGCCCCACCUGACCCCGAAGCUGAGUCUCUGGCAAAGGGACAUGAAUUGGUGUAAACCGUCGUAAUUCUUCCCUGGGGCUGGGAAUGAUUUUCACCCUGAAGGACAUCCAGGUUCCACUGGCAGCGGGGGAGUGUGGAUAGAGGCUGGGAGGUCAUCACAGGAUGCCGGCUAUGGCUGGUCCACAGCACCUCAGAGAGCCCCAGCCCCAUCCUCCGGCUGAGCGGCACUCACGCGCUGCCUUCUCAGAGGCUCCGAUGUCCCUGGAGCAGGCAGGAGUGCUGAGGGUCCCAUUCAGCAUCCUGAGAGAGGGACAGCGCACAGUCAGGCCCUAAGGAGGACAGGGCAGAGCCCCGGGAUUCCAGCCCCAUCCCCUGGGGCAAGUGAUUGAACCCCAUCUGUCAAAUGGGGGCCAUCCCCACUUCACAGCACCCAGAAUUUUGCCCAGAAUAAGUACUCAGUCAUGUCAGCUCUUAUGAGCAGAGUAGCCCAGCGGUUAGCUCCCUCGCCACCCCCUCUGCCCCCCGGCUGUAGACCAGCUCCCCUGGGGUCACAUCUCAGCACUGCUACUUCCUGGCUGGACCCCAGCAUGUCACCUUGCACUUCUCAGCACCAUUGUCUUAAAAGGAUGAUGAGGUUAGCACCUACUUUCCAGAUGGUUUUGAAGAUACAGUGAGUUAGUACAUCUGUAAAGUGGUUAGAAGAAUGCACCUAGUUGACCAGGUGGCAAAUGUCUGCUGCUAUCAUCACUUACUGUUAACUGUCAUCACUGUCAUUCAGCCACUCUGGCCAUGGGUGGCUGAAAGCUCAAGGCUCCCGAGGACACCUGGGAAAAGAUUCGGGGGGCCACGAUGGCAUAGGCAUGGGAGACUCAGCCCUGGAGUCUGGCAGGGCUUGACCAAGUCACUUGGUGACCUUGAACACAUGACUUUCCCUACAUGACUUCCCCUUCCUGGGACUCCGUAUGCUCUGUAAAGAUGGGAACAUUCAUGGCUGGGCACGGUGGCUCAUGCCUGUAAUCCCAGCACUUUGGUAGACGAAGACGGGCGGAUCGUGGUGCCCACGAGGUCAGGAGUUCGAGACCAGCCUGGCCAACAUGGUGAAACCCCGUCUCUACUAAAAUUGCAAAAAUUAGCUGGGCGUGGUAGCACGCACCUGUAAUCCCAGCUCCUUGGGAAGCUGAGGUAGGAGAAUCGCUUGAACCCAGGAGGGAGAGGUUGCAGUGAGCUGAGAUCACACCACUGCACUCCAGCCUGAGCGACAGAGCCAGACUCCAUCUCCAAAAAACAAACAAAAAAAGAUAUAAAAAAAAUGGGAACAUUCUCUGGCCAGAGUAUUGUGGGGACUUGGGAAGCAGGAAGUUUGAGUCCUGGGCGCAGGCCCUGGAGGGGCUGUAGCAGGGGAUUCCCCGCUUGCUGAGGCCAGGUCUGGUGCGGGAGAUCGUGGCUGCCUCCUUGUGGAAGCCAGGGGAACUGCGGAGGCCGAGGGCUGGUGGGGAAUCUGGCGGGCCGGGCUCUGGCUGGGGCAGAGGAGGACAAGGAGGAGCAGGUAGACAGCCAGCCAGACGCCUCCUCCAGCCAGACAGUGACCCCGGUGGCUGAACCCCCGAGCACAGAGCCCACCCAGCCUGACGGGCCCACCACCCUGGGCCCCUUGGAUCUGCUGCCCAGUGAGGAGCUAUUGACAGACACAAGUAACUCC